rnacentral:rRNA from 1 species
GGGUUAAGUCCCGCAACGAGCGCAACCCCUAUUGAUAGUUACCAUCAUUAAGUUGGGUACUCUAUUAAGACUGCCGCUGACAAGGCGGAGGAAGGUGGGGACGACGUCAAGUCAUCAUGGCCCUUACGACCAGGGCUACACACGUGCUACAAUGGGUAUUACAGAGGGCUGCGAAGGUGCGAGCUGGAGCGAAACUCAAAAAGGUACUCUUAGUCCGGAUUGCAGUCUGCAACUCGACUGCAUGAAGUCGGAAUCGCUAGUAAUCGCAGGUCAGAAUACUGCGGUGAAUACGUUCCCGGGUCUUGUACACACCGCCCGUCACACCAUGGGAGUGGGUUGCUCCAGAAGUAGAUAGCUUAACGAAUGGGCGUUUACC